CCCCGCAAGGGGAGCGGCAGACGGGAGAGUAACACGUGGGAACGUACCCUUUGGUUCGGAACAACCCAGGGAAACUUGGGCUAAUACCGGAUAAGUCCGCAAGGAGAAAGAUUUAUCGCCGAAGGAUCGGCCCGCGUCUGAUUAGCUAGUUGGUGAGGUAACGGCUCACCAAGGCGACGAUCAGUAGCUGGUCUGAGAGGAUGAUCAGCCUCACUGGGACUGAGACACGGCCCAG
rnacentral:rRNA from 1 species